CUGUGCAGCCGGGGAGUUAGCGGUGCCCUAUACCUGCAAUCCGCUAUAGCAGGGGUGAUGGACUGGUUCGGGUCGCUUUUUUCAUAAAGCUGCCCUUCGUAAGUGGCGUUGAAGUCUGGGUCUUGCGCAAUGGAUGCCCACGAACCGUGUCAGGUCGGGAACGGAGCAGCACUAAGAGGGAUUUUCCAUGUGCCGCGAGGGUGCCUGGGCUGAGUUAACUGCGGAGGUAACGUUUAUGAAAAUCUUCACAACCCAGUCCGCACAG
rfam:Clostridium sp. CAG:632 genomic scaffold, scf8